UAUUGGUACAAACUUCCUGAAAAGUAAUCUGAUGGUCUGUAUAAAGAGCUGUAAAAAGUUUAUACCUUUUAAUUUCAUAACUGUCCAUCUAGGAACCUUCCCAAAUUAUAAAUAACCAGGAAUACAGAAAAAGAUCAACAUAAGUAUACUUAUUGUGAUGAAGUAUUGGAAAAUUGGAAACCACCUAAAUGUCCAACAGCAGUUUCUUCUUCUAAGGAGUGACAAGCCAACUGUUUAUGUGAAAAGGCUGGAUGGAACACACAGUUCUUGCAGAUGAAGAAUUGUGGCUUUUCUGAAGCAGAACAAUUUUCUUCGUCAUCAUUACAAGUG
rnacentral:lncRNA from 1 species